ACGGGGGUGGCAAGCGUUGUUCGGAAUUACUGGGCGUAAAGGGCGCGUAGGCGGCUUUUCAAGUCAGAUGUGAAAGCCCCGGGCUUAACUCGGGAAUUGCAUCUGAAACUGAAAAGCUUGAGUUCUGGAGGGGGUAGUGGAAUUCCCAGUGUAGCGGUGAAAUGCGUAGAUAUUGGGAGGAACACCUGCGGCGAAGGCGGCUACCUGGACAGAGACUGACGCUGAGGCGCGAAAGCUAGGGGAGCGAACAG
rnacentral:rRNA from 1 species